AUUGAACGCUGGCGGCAUGCCUUACACAUGCAAAUCGAACGGCAGCACGGGAGCAAUCCUGGUGGCGAGUGGCGAACGGGUGAGUAAUAUAUCGGAACGUGCCCAGUAGUGGGGGAUAACUGCUCGAAAGAGCAGCUAAUACCGCAUACGACCUGAGGGUGAAAGGGGGGGACGGCAGACCCUCCCGCUCUUGAGAGGCCCUAAAUCAGAUUGGCUAGUUGGUGGGGUAAAGGCCUACCAAGGCAACGAUCUGUAGUUGGUCUGAGAGGACGACCAGCCACACUGGGACUGAGACACGGCCCAGACUCCUACGGGAGGCAGCAGUGGGGAAUUUUGGACAAUGGGCGCAAGCCUGAUCCAGCAAUGCCGCGUGCAGGAAGAAGGCCUUCGGGUUGUAAACUGCUUUUGUCAGGGAAGAAAUCCUCUAGGUUAAUACCCUUGGGGGGAUGACGGUACCUGAAGAAUAAGCACCGGCUAACUACGUGCCAGCAGCCGCUGUAACAC
rnacentral:rRNA from 1 species